UACGAGGGGGGCAAGCGUUGUUCGGAAUUAUUGGGCGUAAAGGGCGCGUAGGCGGCCACGCACGUCCGUUGUGAAAUCGCCCGGCUCAACUGGGCGGGGUCAGCGGAUACGGUGUGGCUAGAGCAAGCUAGGGGGCAAUGGAAUUCCCGGUGUAGUGGUGGAAUGCGUAGAUAUCGGGAGGAACACCAGUGGCGAAGGCGGUUGCCUGGAGCUUUGCUGACGCUGAUGCGCGAAAGCGUGGGGAGCGAUCCGG
rnacentral:rRNA from 1 species